UACGAAGGGAGCUAGCGUUGUUCGGAAUUACUGGGCGUAAAGGGCGCGUAGGCGGCGCCGUAAGUCAGAUGUGAAAGCCCCGGGCUUAACCUGGGAAUUGCAUAUGAUACUGCGGUGCUAGAGGAUGAGAGAGGAAAGUGGAAUUACGAGUGUAGAGGUGAAAUUCGUAGAUAUUCGUAAGAACACCGGUGGCGAAGGCGGUCUGCUGGGCAGUAGCUGACACUGAGGCGCGACAGCGUGGGGAGCAAACAGG
rnacentral:rRNA from 1 species